CUUUAUUCCCUUUCCAAUUUAAGAACUUUUGCUGCAGUAUGUUUAAUAAAGAACCUUUGCACUUGGUCUUAAAUGGCUUAAUUGUUCAUAUGCUGAAACCUUUAUCCACAAUGAAUUAUAUUUAUGAUAGGACUACAGAGGUAAUGUCAUGGAGUCAUAGGGUGGGGCCCUCAUGCAGUAGGACUGGUGUCCUAAGAAGAGGAAAAGACACCAGGAACAGGUGUGCAAGGAGAAAAGGCCAUGAGGUUGCUCUUUGCAAGCUGAGGCUGAGGGACAAGCACUGGAGCCAGGAAGCAACACUCAAGAUGAAGACUGGAGCACCCCUGAUGGGAACAGUAGCCAUCUCUUGACUGUGAGGACCAGGCUCCUCUGAUGAUAACAGCUGAGUUCACAUCAGGAAAAAAUGAGUCUUGGCAAGCAUCCUAUCUUCCCCUCCAGUUCUUUUAUACUGUUGGCAGCAAUGCUCAGGUGAGUCUUCCAUGCUCAGAACCACGCUGAUUCAGUUCAGCUGGGCGUUCGUUCCAAGUUGACCAUUAGUUAAUCCACGCUGUGUAAUCUUUCUGGCUGUUUCUCUUUCUUUUUUUUACUAUCUCCCCCGCACCCCCUGUACUGGGGAUUGAACUUUGGACCUUGCACUUGUGUGGCAGGUGGCAGCACCACUGAGCUAAAUCCCUGAUCCUCUGUUUUUUGUUUGUUUGUUUUUUUAUAAAGAUUAUCCUGGCAGCAUCUGGAAGAGAGAUUGAAGGGCUCUGAAACAGGGGGCAGAAAAGUUGGUUUAAAGAACCCAUUGGGCUUCUCAGGUAAAGAAGUAGAAAGAGCAAAUAAAUACAUGAAAAAAUGUUCAACAUCACUGGUCAUUGGAGAGAUGCAAAUAAAAUGCUGAGAUUCCAUCUCACUCCAGAAAGAAUAGCUGUUGUCAAGAAAUCAACCAAUAAUAAAUGCUGGAGGGGCUGUGGGGAAAAAGUAACACUGCUCCACUGCUAGUGGGAGUGUUGACUAGUGCAACCUCUGAGGAAAUCAGUGUGGAGAUUCCUCAAAAAAAUAAAACUAGAGGUUUAAUUUGACCAGCUGUACCUCUUCUUUGUAUGUUCUCAAAGAAUUAAAAGCAUCACACCACAGUGAUAUAUGCUCACCCAUGUUUAUAGCGGCACAGUUUGUAACAGCUAAAUCUUGGAAACAGCCCAAAGGCCCAUCAGCUGACAAUUGUAUAAAAAAACGCGGUUUUUCUAUAUAAUGGAGUACGGCUCUGUCGUAAAGAAGUAUGAGCUUCAGACAUUAAUAACGAAGUGGGUGGACUUUGAGACCCUACUCUUAAGUGAAAUCAAUUGGACACACAUGUUUACAUACAUUGUUUCUCUGGUGUGAAAAACAAAGUGGAAACAAGGACUAAAAUGUAUAAUAGAUAUUGAGAAAUGGGAAGAAUAUGUUCAGGUGAGAGUAGGAGCAAGGGAGGGGGAUGGAGAAAAGAAGUAGAGGACAAGAAAAUAUGUGAAAAUAGAAAAAUAGAAACAGCUUUUGUACAUCGAGGGGGAGGGGCUUGAGAGGAAGAAAUGGGAUAAAGAGGGG
ensembl:lincRNA